GUAUCGAUAGCUCAGCGGCAGAGCGGUGGGGCGUUUACCCAUGCGGCCCGGGUUCGAUCCCCGGUCGAUGCA